rnacentral:rRNA from 1 species
UACGUAGGGAGCAAGCGUUGUUCGGAUUUACUGGGCGUAAAGGGCGCGUAGGCGGCAACUCAAGUCAUCUGUGAAAUCUCCGGGCUUAACUCGGAACGGUCAGAUGAUACUGUUUUGCUAGAGUGCAGAAGGGGCAAUCGGAAUUCUUGGUGUAGCGGUGAAAUGCUUAGAUAUGACAUAGAACACCAAUUGCGAAGGCAGCUUACUACGGAUUGAUUGACACUGAGGCACGAAAAGCGUGGGGGAUCAAAACAGG